UACGAAGGGGGCUAGCGUUGCUCGGAAUCACUGGGCGUAAAGCGCACGUAGGCGGCUUCUUAAGUCAGGGGUGAAAUCCUGGAGCUCAACUCCAGAACUGCCUUUGAUACUGAGGAGCUUGAGUCCGGGAGAGGUGAGUGGAACUGCGAGUGUAGAGGUGAAAUUCGUAGAUAUUCGCAAGAACACCAGUGGCGAAGGCGGCUCACUGGGCCGGUACUGACGCUGAGGUGCGAAAGCGUGGGGAGCAAACAGG
rnacentral:rRNA from 1 species